GACAGGUGCAGGAAAUUUACGUUGCCGCGACGUAUGCAAAUGAAUGCUUCAUCUGCAAUUGAUCGCGAGUCAUUUUGAAGCAUCGUCUGGAAAUACCUCGCAGCUACGUAGCUAGCUAGUCGGUUAGAUGUAUUACAAGUUCCUCAGUUGUUCGCGGGUGAUUUGGAAGCAUCGUUUAUUGAGCCUCUGGGCGUCUUGAUGGAAAUCUAGGCCUAUACAUCGCAGCAUCAUAUUAACUAUGUCGGUACAAUUUCAUUCAAGUUCCUCACUUGAUUGCUGGUCAUUUUAUAGCAUUCGAUAAAGAAAGGAAAAAAAGUUGUCACAGUCUAUGAAGGGUUAGGAUGGAGACUGCUCGUCGCUGCUGUCAAACCACAUGAUAACAGGAAAGAGUUUGAAAACUAUGAUUUGAUGACCACUGCUGAAUUGGCCUGCUCAGAGGAAGAGGCACUAAUGAUUCCAGAAAACAGGAAGCCAAAGAAGAAGACCUACACAGACUUUGAAAUGGGUAGCAGUAGCAGCAGCACCGAGGAAUCCUACUUUCCUGAGUCCGACACCGAGAGGGCCAUCAAGGACUUCCCCGACUGGUAACAGACUGGAGUAGAGGCUGUAGCAGAGAUGACCUUUUUUUUUACUGAAAUAAUUGAGAAAGGCUAAGCAAGUGACAAGUUUUUUUUAACUGAAACAGAUUCCGUUGGACAUCCUGUUGUGUGCGCAAGCACCUUUUUAUUACUACGGGUUUACAGACACAUCUCUACUGAUUGCGUAUCACCUAGAAGCUAAUAAUUGAGAGACACACCCACCAAACGAGAGAAAACAACUCAAGUUGUUGCACACCGUUCCCAGGAAACGUGCUGUUUUGAGAUUGAACAUGCCCCAGCUCUUUGAUUGAGGGAAGGCCCACAGUCUCAGACUUUAAAAAACACUGGUUUAAGCUUUCAAUAGUAUUUUUGUA